rnacentral:rRNA from 1 species
GAUGAACGCUGGCGGCGUGCCUAAUACAUGCAAGUCGAGCGAACGGACGAGAAGCUUGCUUUUCUGAUGUUAGCGGCGGACGGGUGAGUAACACGUGGAUAACCUACCUAUAAGACUGGGAUAACUUCGGGAAACCGGAGCUAAUACCGGAUAAUAUUUUGAACCGCAUGGUUCAAAAGUGAAAGACGGUCUUGCUGUCACUUAUGGAUGGAUCCGCGCUGCAUUAGCUAGUUGGUAAGGUAACGGCUUACCAAGGCAACGAUGCAUAGCCGACCUGAGAGGGUGAUCGGCCACACUGGAACUGAGACACGGUCCAGACUCCUACGGGAGGCAGCAGUAGGGAAUCUUCCGCAAUGGGCGAAAGCUUGACGGAGCAACGCCGCGUGAGUGAUGAAGGUCUUCGGAUCGUAAAACUCUGUUAUUAGGGAAGAACAUAUGUGUAAGUAACUGUGCACAUCUUGACGGUACCUAAUCAGAAAGCCACGGCUAACUACGUG